rnacentral:tRNA from 1 species
GGUUGUUUGGCGCAAUGGUAGCGCGUUCCCCUCCUAUGCUCACAUCCGAGGUAGUGUCCAAAAAGGGAAAGGCUCUGGGUUCGAGUCCCAGGAUGAUCA